UAGGGAAUCUUCCACAAUGGGCGAAAGCCUGAUGGAGCAACGCCGCGUGUGUGGUGAAGGGUUUCGGCUCGUAAAACACUGUUGUAAGAGAAGAAUGACAUUGAGAGUAACUGUUCAAUGUGUGACGGUAUCUUACCAGAAAGGAACGGCUAAAUACGUGCUAG
rnacentral:rRNA from 1 species